rnacentral:rRNA from 1 species
AYAGGGAUUCCCUAGUAGCGGCGAGCGAAGCGGGAAGAGCUCAAAUUUAUAAUCUGGCACCUUCGGUGUCCGAGUUGUAAUCUCUAGAAAUGUUUUCCGCGUUGGACCGCACACAAGUCUGUUGGAAUACAGCGGCAUAGUGGUGAGACCCCCGUAUAUGGUGCGGACGCCCAGCGCUUUGUGAUACAUUUUCGAAGAGUCGAGUUGUUUGGGAAUGCAGCUCAAAUUGGGUGGUAAAUUCCAUCUAAAGCUAAAUAUUGGCGAGAGACCGAUAGCGAACAAGUACCGUGAGGGAAAGAUGAAAAGCACUUUGGAAAGAGAGUUAACAGUACGUGAAAUUGUUGGAAGGGAAACGCUUGAAGUCAGACUUGCUUGCCGAGCAAUCGGUUUGCAGGCCAGCAUCAGUUUUCCGGGAUGGAUAAUGGUAGAGAGAAGGUAGCAGUUUCGGCUGUGUUAUAGCUCUCUGCUGGAUACAUCUUGGGGGACUGAGGAACGCAGUGUGCCUUUUGGCGGGGGUUUCGACCUCUUCACACUUAGGAUGCUGGUGGAAUGGCUUUAAACGACCCGUCUUGAAMMMMSGGACMCA